GGGUUCGAAUCCCACCAGAGUCGGUUUU
rnacentral:piRNA from 2 species